AAGGGUCUGGGCUCGAAAGAAGAUCUAUCGUCUAAUAGGGCGGCGAGUGGCGGACGGUUUGAGUAAUAUAUCGGAACGUGCCCAGUAGCGGGGGAUAACUACUCGAAAGAUAAGCUAAUACCGCAUACGCCCUACGGGGGGAGGGGGGGAUCGCAAGACCUCUCACUAUUGGAGCGGCCGAUAUCGGAUUAGCUAGUUGGUGGGGUAAAGGCUCACCAAGGCAACGAUCCGUAGCUGGUUUGAGAGGACGACCAGCCACACUGGGACUGAGACACGGCCCAGACUCCUACGGGAGGCAGCAGUGGGGAAUUUUGGACAAUGGGGGAAACCCUGAUCCAGCCAUCCCGCGUGUAUGAUGAAGGCCUUCGGGUUGUAAAGUACUUUUGGCAGAGAAGAAAAGGUAUCCCCUAAUACGGGAUACUGCUGACGGUAUCUGCAGAAUAAGCACCGGCUAACUACGUGCCAGCAGCCGCGGUAAUACGUAGGGUGC
rnacentral:rRNA from 1 species